GAGUUUGAUCCUGGCUCAGAUUGAACGCUGGCGGCAUGCCUAACACAUGCAAGUCGAGCGGCAGCAGGUCCUUCGGGAUGCUGGCGAGCGGCGGACGGGUGAGUAACACGUGGGAAUCUGCCCAUCGGUGGGGGAUAGCCCGAGGAAACUCGGAUUAAUACCGCAUACGCCCUACGGGGCAAAGUAGACCUCUGAUUUAAGUUUACGCCGAUGGAUGAGCCCGCGGCCGAUUAGCUAGUUGGUGGGGUAAAGGCCUACCAAGGCAACGAUCGGUAGCUGGUCUGAGAGGACGAUCAGUCACACCGGAACUGAGACACGGUCCGGACUCCUACGGGAGGCAGCAGUGGGGAAUAUUGGACAAUGGGCGAAAGCCUGAUCCAGCAAUGCCGCGUGGGUGAAGAAGGCUUGAGGGUUGUAAAGCCCUUUCAGCAGGGAGGAAAAGCGUACGGUUAAUACCCGUGCGUCUUGACGUUACCUGCAGAAGAAGCACCGGCUAACUCCGUGCCAGCAGCCGCGGUAAU
rnacentral:rRNA from 1 species